AUUGAACGCUGGCGGCACGCUUAACACAUGCAAGUCGAACGGCAGCAUUGUAUGUAGCAAUACAUACAGAUGGCGAGUGGCGGACGGGUGAGUAAAACGUAGGAACCCAACCUCAAGAGGGGGACAACCAAGGGAAACUUUGGCUAAUACCGCAUAACUCUGAGGAGAAAAGUUGCCAGCAAUGGUGACGUUUGAGGAGGGGCCUGCGUCCGAUUAGCUAGUUGGUUAGGUAAGAGCUAAACAAGGCGAUGAUCGGUAACUGGUCUGAGAGGACGACCAGUCACACUGGGACUGAGACACGGCCCAGACUCCUACGGGAGGCAGCAGUGGGGAAUCUUGGACAAUGGGGGCAACCCUGAUCCAGCGAUGCCGCGUGGGUGAAGAAGGCCUUCGGGUUGUAAAGCCCUUUAGGUCGGGAAGAAGAUUGCAGGUUGAUAAUGCCUGCAUGAUGACGGUACCGACAGAAUAAGCACCGGCAAACUCUGUGCCAGCCGCCGCCGUAA
rnacentral:rRNA from 1 species